rnacentral:rRNA from 1 species
AUUGAACGCUGGCGGCAGGCCUAACACAUGCAAGUCGAGCGAGCGGCGGACGGGUGAGUAAUGUCUGGGAACUGCCUGAUGGAGGGGGAUAACUACUGGAAACGGUAGCUAAUACCGCAUACCAUCGGAUAACCCAGAUGGGAUUAGCUAGUAGGUGGGGUAAUGGCUCACCUAGGCGACGAUCCCUAGCUGGUCUGAGAGGAUGAUCAGCCACACUGGGACUGAGACACGGCCCAGACUCCUACGGAGGCAGCAGUGGGGAAUAUUGCACAAUGGGCGCAAGCCUGAUGCAGCCAUGCCGCGUGUAUGAAGAAGGCCCUAGGGUUGUAAAGUACUUUCAGUCGGGAGGCGUUACCGACAGAAGAAGCACCGGCUAACUCCGUGCCAGCAGCCGCGGUAAUAC